GUGCUUGCUUCAGCAGCUCGUAUACGAAAAUUGGAACGAUACAGAGAAUAUUAGCAUGGCCCCUGCACAAGGAUGACACGCAAAUUUGUGAAGCGUUUCAUAUUUUU
ensembl:snRNA U6 U6 spliceosomal RNA